UUAAUGAGUUUCAAGAUUCUCUUAAUUUGUUAUUUGGGUGUUUUUCUUUUUCUUUUUGGUUGGUAAUAAUGAUUUUCUUAGUUGGGUAUUUGGGUGUUUAGAACAUGAUGAUAUAUGUCACACCCUAUCUGUUCUUUCUUCUUCAUAAAGUAGUCGAAAAGAAAAUAAAUUAAAGAGUGAUGGUUGUUUGCAAAUAUAUAGUUAAAUUGAAAACUAAACCAAGAUUAAUUAGUAUUCCUAAAUUGUCUAUGAUAUGAUAUUUGGUAGUUUGUUUAAUUCAUGUUAGUUAGGUUUUGUUUACCAAUUUUAUAUUGGAAUAUGUUUUGAUUUUAUAGUAUUAUAAAUAGAGGUACUACUUUUUGUAGAUAAAUUAAAGAGUUUAUGAGUUGUGAAAAAGCCUCCUACCACGUUCUCUCCCUAGUUUAAUAAAUUUCUUCUAUAUAGUCUUUGUUAAAUUUUUUGUUUGUGCCUAAAUUAUUCUUGGGGUAUUUCAAUCUUUCAUAUUGGUAUCAGAAAGAUUCUGUUAGAGUCGGUGGAGAUCCAAAAAAAAAAAAAAUUAUGGAUACUCCAUAUUUACAUGAUUGCCACGUUUUCAAGUUUGAUGGCAAAAAUAAUGUUGAAGACGGGCAUCAAUAUAUGAAAUAUUUUUUUAAUGUUGUUGGAUUAUGACCCAUUAUUGAAACAAGAUUUGAGGAACCCCAGAAGGUACAACAUUGAUAGGUGAUGCGGCUAUGAAUUAGAAAAAAAAUAGACAAUUAGAUUAUAAGGCACGUCACUAUCUCACCAGUAAGGUUGACUUGCGUCUAUCUAACAAUUUUUUGCAUGCAAAAUCAACAAAGGAGGCUUGGACAAUUUUGGUGAAUUCACAUCGAGGUUCUGCUGAAGUAAAGAAAGUCAAAUUGCAAGAACUAAGGAGACAGUACGAGUUGGCCCAAAUGAAACCAACAGAGCCCGUUAAAGAAUUCAUUACAAGAAUUACUAAUAUUAUCAACGGCAUGAGGACCAAUGGAGAACUACUAGAUGAAGUUAAAGUGGUUGAAAAAAUAUUGCGGUCCUUGAGUAUAAAAUUUCACACGAAGAAGGUGGUUCUCGAGGCUACCAAAGAUCUUAACACUUUUACACUUGAUGAUUUAGAAGGUGAAUUGGUGACAUAUGAGAUGUCCCUGACUCAAGACACACCCGAAAUAGUGGAGGAGGCAUUGCAAGCAAAGGUGAAUCAACCUAAAGUAAAAGAAGAGACAAGUUAUCCUAAAGAAACAAAUCAAAGAGGCCAGAAUUUUAGAGGUAGAGGUCGUGGUAGAAGUAACUUUUGAGGCCGUGGUAGAGGUAAUUUUUCUUAUCAACAAAGAAAUAGUAACAAUAUUUUGAAGGAACAACAAGAUCAUCUAAAUUUUCAAAGACGUGAUAAAUCUAAGAUUCAGUGCUAUAAUUUUGGUAAAUUUGGACAUUAUGAAAGUGAAUGUUGGUCUAAUAAAUAUGGUAAUAAAGAAGUACAUGCUAAGAUGGCUGAAAAUAAUGGGGAUAAACAAAAGACUUUAUUAUUUUCUAGUUCUGGAGUUGAAGAAACUAAAGGGAAUGAGUGGUUUAUUGAUUCGGGCUGCAACAAUCAUAUGAGUGAAAAUAAGAAAUUAUUUACUAAUCUGGAUGAAACAUUUAGAGGUACAGUAAAACUUGGAAAUAACGCAACGAUGCCUGCUGAUGGAAAGAGAAAAAUUCACAUUAUUGUAAAAGAUGGUUCUUCUAAUUUUAUAUCAGAUGUGUUUUAUGUGCCGAGUAUUCAUCAUAAUUUAUUGAGCUUGGGGCAACUAUCAGAAAAUGGGUAUGAUUUGCGUUUUAAGUAUAAGAUUGGCACAAAUAGUGAUGAUAAAUUUGGACUAAUUGCAAAGUUUAACAUGAACAAUAGUCGUUUGUGGCCUCUUUAUCUCAAUAGUGAUGAUUUACCUUGCUUUAGUUCUAUAAACUUUGAUGAUACUUGGUUGUGGCAUCUACGUCUUGGGCAUUUGAAUUUUGGGAAUUUGAAAUUUCUUGCAAGAAAGAAUUUUAUUGAUGGUUUGCCUUCUAUUGAUUUUCCUAACAAGAAGUGUGAGUCGUGUAUUUUGGGAAAGAAGUAUAGAGAAUCUUUUCAGAAAGGCAAGGCUUGGAGAGCUAAUGCACCAUUACAGUUAAUUCAUUCAGAUUUAUGCUCAGUUGAAGUUUCUUCUAAUUAUGGUAGUAAGUAUUUUAUUACUUUCAUUGAUGAUUUCAGCCGAAAGACUUGAGUAUAUUUAUUUAAAAAUAAAUCUGAUGCAUGUGAUAUUUUUAAGAGCUUCAAAGUUUAUGCGGAGAAGCAAAGUGGAUAUUUUAUUAAAACAUUGAGGACUGAUAGGGGCACUGAAUUUCUUAUUUGUAAUGAUUAUUUGAAGAAGUAUGGUAUUAAGUAUCAAUUGACAGCUAGAUAUACACCUCAGUAAAAUGAUGUGGUUGAAAGAAAAAAUAGAACAGUGAUGGACAUGGUGAGAUCUAUGAUGCAUUCCAAAAAUAUUUCAAAAGUUUUUUGGGCAGAAGCUGUUUCCUGUGCAAUUUAUGUAUUAAAUAUGUGUCCUACACGGUCUAAUUUUAAAAAAACUCCACAAGAGAUCUGGACAGGUAAGAAACCAAAUAUUUCUCAUCUAAAAAUAUUUUGUUGUCUUGCUUAUGCUCAUGUUCCUGAUGCUUUGAGAAAGAAAUUGGAUGAUAAAGUUGAAAAGUGUAUUUUUAUUGGUUAUAGUCAUGAGAAAAAGGGUUACAAGUUGUUUAAUCGAGAUACAUGAAAAGUGAUUAUUAGCAGAGAUGUGACUUUUGAUGAGCAGAGUUCUUGGAAUUGGUCAAAGAAGAAUUUUGAUCCAUCUAGGUCUCAACCAAUAAUUCAAGUCAUAGAGGAAGGAAGUUCUAGCAGACAUUAAGAGGAACGUGCAAUAGAUCCUAUUCAAGCAGAGACGUCCAGUCGCCCGCAAAUACAAUACCAAUUAGCAGCUCGUUGGCAAGAUUAUAUUGUUGGAGAUAAUAAUGAUUUAUUCGUUGAAGAUAUUAUAAAUUUUGCCUUAUUUGCAGAUUGUGAUCCAGUUACUUUUGAGGAAGUUGUUAGAGAUGAUCGAUGGGUUCAUGCAAUGAAUGAAAAAAUUCAUGCUAUUGAAAAAAAUAAGACAUGAGAAUUGACCACUUUACCACCUUCAAAAAGAUCAAUUGGAGUCAAGUGGGUAUUCAAGACCAAGUUCAAACCAACCGGGAAGUGGAUCGCUUUAAGGCAAGAUUAGUUGUUAAAGAAUACAAACAGAAGGCAAGUAUUGAUUACUUUGAGGUAUUUGCACAUGUUGCUAGACUUGAUACUAUUCGUAUGAUAAUUUCUCUUGCUGCCAAUAAUUGCUGGAAAAGUUUUAAAAUGGAUGUGAAAUCUGCUUUCUUAAAUGGUGUACUUGAAGAAGAAGUGUAUGUUGAGCAGCCUGCUGGUUAUGUCAAAAGGGCUCAAGAAAAUAAAGUUUAAAGGCUGAAAAAGGCAUUAUAUGGAUUGAAACAAGCACCUAGAGCUUGGUACACUCAUAUUGAUUCUUAUUUUAUUGGACAUGGAUUCCACAGAUGUCCAUAUGAGCAUACUUUAUAUAUCAAAUUCAAGCGUGGCGAAAAUAUUCUCAUUGUGUGCUUAUAUGUGGAUCAUUUAAUUUUUACUGGCAAUAAUCCUAAAUUAAUUUUUGAAUUUAGGGAGGCAAUGAAUAACCAGUUUGAGAUGACUGAUUUGGGUUUAAUGUCUUAUUUUCUUGGCAUUGAGGUAUCUCAAUUAGAUAAUGGAAUAUUUAUCUCUCAGAAAAAAUAUGCCGGUAAUAUUCUAAAAAGAUUUAAUAUGGAUAAAGCCAAACCAAUUUUGACCCCUGUUGAAGAAAAAUUGAAGUUGGUUAGAGAUGGGACCGGUGACUUUAUUGAUGCUACAUAUUUUAGAAAAUUAGUAGGGAGUCUAAGGUACUUGACUUCUACAAGGCCUGAUAUUACUUAUGGAGUUGGAUUAAUUAGCAGAUUUAUGGAGAUUCCACGACAAUUCCACUUGCAAGCAACAAAGAGAAUUUUGAGAUAUAUUCAAGGUACGCACACUGAUGGUAUAUUUUAUUUAAAGAUUAAUGAUAGUAGUCUUGUGGGAUUUAGAGACAGUGAUUGGGCAUGUGAUACGAUACAAAGAAAAAGAAUUCUGACUAUGCAUUUUAUUUGGGUUCUGGUAUAUUUUCUUGGUCUUCCAAAAAGCAAUAAGUUGUUGCUUUAUCAACAGCUGAAGCAGAGUACAUGGCUGCAGCAAAUAGUGCUACACAAGCAUUGUGGUUAAGAAGAAUGCAUGAAUUUCUUCAACACAAGCAAGACAAUCCUACAAUAUUUUUUUGUGAUAGCAAGUCUGCAAUUGAGUUAACAAAGAAUCCAGUUUUUCAUGGGCGUAGCAAACACAUUGAUAUCAAAUUUUACUUAUUCGUGACUUAGUUCACGACAAGGAGAUAGUUAUUGAGUAUUGCAAGACUGGAGAGCAAGUUGCUGAUGUUUUCACAAAGCCACUAAAAUUGGAGUUAUUCAUCAAAUUGAAGAAGAUGUUUGGCAUGAUCAAAUUUUAAAAUCUUGGUUUAAGGGAGGCUGUUGGAAACUAAACCAAGAUUAAUUAGUAUUCCUAAACUGUCUAGGAUUUGAUAUUUGGUAGUUUAUUUAAUUCAUGUCUAGUUAGGUUUUGUUUACCAAUUUUAUAUUGGAAUAUGUUUUGAUUUUAUAGUAUUAUAAAUAGAGGUACUACUUU
rnacentral:lncRNA from 1 species